rnacentral:piRNA from 1 species
UGUACAAGUCAACACUAACAAUGGGUCUACU